AGAGUUUGAUCCUGGCUCAGGACGAACGCUGGCGGCGUUAACACAUGCAAGUCGAACGGGGCUCACCGCUUCGGUGGUGGGUUCAGUGGCGAACGGGUGAGUAACACGUGGGCAACCUGCCCCCGGCUCUGGGAUAACUCCAAGAAAUUGGGGCUAAUACCGGAUGUGACCGCUGGCCGCAUGGUCUGGUGGUGGAAAGGGUUUCCGGCUGGGGAUGGGCCCGCGGCCUAUCAGCUUGUUGGUGGGGUAGUGGCCUACCAAGGCGACGACGGGUAGCCGGCCUGAGAGGGUGACCGGCCACACUGGGACUGAGACACGGCCCAGACUCCUACGGGAGGCAGCAGUGGGGAAUAUUGCGCAAUGGGCGGAAGCCUGACGCAGCGACGCCCGCGUGGGGGAUGACGGCCUUCGGGUUGUAAACCUCUUUCAGCAGGGACGAAGCGGAAGUGACGGUACCUGCAGAAGAAGCACCGGCCAACUACGUGCCAGCAGCCGCGGUAAUACGUAGGGUGCAAGCGUUGUCCGGAAUUAUUGGGCGUAAAGAGCUCGUAGGCGGUUUGUCGCGUCGGCUGUGAAAUCCCGGAGCUCAACUCCGGGUCUGCAGUCGAUACGGGCAGACUUGAGUGUUGCAGGGGAGACUGGAAUUCCUGGUGUAGCGGUGAAAUGCGCAGAUAUCAGGAGGAACACCGGUGGCGAAGGCGGGUCUCUGGGCAACAACUGACGCUGAGGAGCGAAAGCGUGGGGAGCGAACAGGAUUAGAUACCCUAGUAGUCC
rnacentral:rRNA from 1 species